rnacentral:misc_RNA from 1 species
UAAUACUAUGGCUUUGCCUUGUGUUGAUGGUGUUCUGUCGAGAACCUAUUGAAAAUGUCAAGUCGGCGCUGAUUUCAUGGUCUGAUUCGCAGCAAAAUGUGAAGAUGACUUUUAAUCAGUUGCCUUACUACUGAAU